UACGGAGGAUGCGAGCGUUAUCCGGAUUUAUUGGGUUUAAAGGGUGCGCAGGCGGAGUGUCAAGUCAGCGGUAAAAUUUCGGGGCUCAACCCCGGCGAGCCGUUGAAACUGACGCCCUUGAGUGCGCGAGAAGUAUGCGGAAUGCGUGGUGUAGCGGUGAAAUGCAUAGAUAUCACGCAGAACUCCGAUUGCGAAGGCAGCAUACCGGCGCGCAACUGACGCUCAUGCACGAAAGCGUGGGUAUCGAACAGG
rnacentral:rRNA from 1 species